CCUACGGGGUGCAGCAGUGAGGAAUAUUGGUCAAUGGCCGUAAGGCUGAACCAGCCAAGUAGCGUGAGGGAAGACUGCCCUAUGGGUUGUAAACCUCUUUUAUGCGGGGAUAAAGGUGUCCACGUGUGGAUGUUUGCAGGUACCGCAUGAAUAAGGACCGGCUAAUUCCGUGCCAGCAGCCGCGGUAAUACGGAAGGUCCGGGCGUUAUCCGGAUUUAUUGGGUUUAAAGGGAGCGUAGGCCGGUCUUUAAGCGUGCCGGGAAAUUUUGUGGCUCAACCAGGAGAGUGCGGCGCGAACUGGAGACCUUGAGUGCGCGGAAGGCAGGCGGAAUUCGUGGUGUAGCGGUGAAAUGCUUAGAUAUCACGAAGAACCCCGAUUGCGAAGGCAGCCUGCCGAAGCGUUACUGACGCUGAAGCUCGAAAGCGCGGGUAUCGAACAGGAUUAGAUACCCGUGUAGUC
rnacentral:rRNA from 1 species